AUGAAGUGCAGUCGUUUUCCGUUGUACAAUAAAAUUAUUAUUUUAUUGUACAACGGAAAACGACUGCAUUUCAU